AGAGAGAAUGAGAGAAAAGGAUUAGUCAACAGGAUUAAUUCCACUAAUUAGAAUUUGGUUUAAGUUCCUGACAAUUUAGUGAAGGUGAUUAAGCGGAUUGAUGAUUGGUCGAUUCAAUUUGGCGACAGAAUAGAAAGAAAGACAAUCAGAAGAACCGAUUGACUUUCGGGGGAGAAGAAAAAAUGUCUGCCGUUUCUUUGGAAUCAAAGAGAAUAGAAAAUUGGAAAAUUGUUUUUCUUUUUUCUUUUUCUCAAGGUUUUCAAUCAUUUAGAUUUAUUUUGAUUCACUUAAUCUAUUUCAUUGGAAUUAAGGAAAGUGUGAAUUAAAUUAGAAAUUCAUUUCAUUUCUAUGGCCGAACGUUAGUUAAUCCGUUACACAAUCAAAACCCUCAAUUUCUAUGGUGUAAUCUCACCAAAACAACGUAAUUUGAAUCAAUCAAAUUUAUCUUUGGUGGUACCAAAUCAACACAAAACCCCAAAACACUGGGUUAAUAAUUUGGUUGAUCACUGUGACUUAAUUGUUUCCGUGUUUGUGUAAUCAUCCAAUUGUUGGAACAAUGAACCAUACAUACUGAUUGUUGAUUAACUGGACACUAAUCAAGUUCAUUAACAUAACAAUCAAAAUGAAAAAGAUGAACCUUAUAAAUGGUUAGUGAAAUCUCAAGACACUUGAAGGUUUGUUAUCCUCCGUAACUGGUCAAGAGUGUUGUUUAUAUCUUUAAGAUUUUCCCUACGGUCAACUAAGUUACUCUUUCUAAUUGUUCAUCUUAUUCAAUACUAAUCUAUUUACCUUUUUCUUUAAAUUUAACUAUUUCCGUUUACCUUAGUAAAUUGUGAUUCCUGUCAAGUGAUUCGUUGAUUAGAUUGGAAAAUUAAUCACCUCUAAAUCCUUAUCCUUUUGUUUUGUGAAAAUUAUUCCUCUCCAAGUGGAUUUUUAAUAAGAUGUUUGGAGAAACAAUCAAUACAACCGUAACCAAUGUGAAUGUCAAUUAAAUUAAUGACAAUCUAAUCAUCAUCAUAA